CCUUCCAGUGGGUAUACGAGCCUAAACGGACGCGGUAAAUCGUGCUAAGGUAGCUAAAUUAUGGCCUAUUAAUUGUAGGUCCUGUGAAUGGUUUGACGAGUCUUCAUCUGUCUCAAAGUUAUUUUGGUGAACUUGAAUUAAAUGUGCAAAUGCAUUUAUGGGGAAGAAAGACGAGAAGACCCCGUGAAGUUAGAAAUUUUUAAUAUAAUGUAAAGUCUUAAUGAUCGGGGAUUAUUGUUGUUUCACUAGGGGGUUUACUAUUAUUCAGGUGAAGGUAGUAGACAAGCUGGUGGGAGAGUUGAGAAAUAUAGUUAAUAGGUUUUGGCUGGGGCAGCAAAGAGGCAAAGCUAGACCUCUUUAGUCUAUUGACGGGUGCGUUACGAUCCACAUGGUUGGUCAGAUGUGCUUAGCAGAAGAAGUUACUCCGGGGAUAACAGCGUUAUCCAUCCUGAUAGCUCUUAUAGAUGGGUGGGUUUGCGACCUCGAUGUUGGCUCUGGGUAUCCUGAGGCUGUAGGUGGUCUCAAGGGUUGGUUUGUUCGCCCAUUAAAACCCGACGUGAUCUA
rnacentral:rRNA from 1 species